GAUGAAGAACGUAGCGAAAUGCGAUAAGUAGUGUGAAUUGCAGAAUUCCGUGAAUCAUCGAAUCUUUGAACGCACAUUGCGCCUUCUGGUAUUCCGGAAGGCAUGCCUGUUCGAGAGUCAUUAACAACCGUUUCGAUCCCUUUCUUUCAGAAAUUACAAAGAGGAAAAGGGUUUGGUUAUGGUGGAGGAGGGAAAGGGAGCGUUUAGCCUGUAAAAAAAGAGGCUGUGUUCCGCCUCCCCCCCAAAAUUGUACAGGCGGUCGUGUGCGCCCACGCAUCGAGGUGUUGUAAAAGCUGCCACGGCACUUUUCACCUGUGCAGUGCGAGAUUGGCCAGCCGGUUUAAAAACCCCUCCAAACAAUCAAAGGUUGACCUCGAAUCAGGUAGGGAUACCCGCUGAACUUAAGCAUAUCAAUAAGCGGAGGA
rnacentral:misc_RNA from 1 species